CCUACGGGCGGCAGCAGUAGGAAAUAUUGCUCAAUGGGGGAAACCCUGAAGCAGCAACGCCGCGUGGGGGAUGAAGGUUUUAGGAUUGUAAACUCCUUUUGUUAGAGAAGAUUAUGACGGUAUCUAACGAAUAAGCACCGGCUAACUCCGUGCCAGCAGCCGCGGUAAUACGGAGGGUGCAAGCGUUACUCGGAAUCACUGGGCGUAAAGAGUGCGUAGGCGGGGUAAUAAGUCAGAUGUGAAAUCCUGUAGCUUAACUACAGAACUGCAGUUGAAACUGUUACUCUGGAGUGUGGGAGAGGUAGGUGGAAUUCGUGGGGUAGGGGUAAAAUGCGUAGAGAUCAAGAGGAACACUCAUUGCGAAGGCGACCUGCUGGAACAUUACUGACGCUGAUGCACGAAAGCGUGGGGAGCAAACAGGAUUAGAUACCCGGGUAGUC
rnacentral:rRNA from 1 species